UACGAAGGGGGCUAGCGUUGCUCGGAAUCACUGGGCGUAAAGCGCACGUAGGCGGACUCUUAAGUCGGUGGUGAAAUCCUGGAGCUCAACUCCAGAACUGCCUUUGAUACUGAGGAUCUUGAGUUCGGGAGAGGUGAGUGGAACUGCGAGUGUAGAGGUGAAAUUCGUAGAUAUUCGCAAGAACACCAGUGGCGAAGGCGGCUCACUGGCCCGAUACUGACGCUGAGGCGCGAAAGCGUGGGGAGCAAACAGG
rnacentral:rRNA from 1 species